GGGUUGGUAGCUCAAUGGGUAGAGCACGUAAACACCGUAUUCAAAACACUUGCCUAAAUCAUUGGGCUGACUGAAUAUGGUUAUCGCUUCCAUUGCCGGGAUGCAGGUUCGAGUCCUGCCCAACCCA
rnacentral:tRNA from 1 species